rnacentral:tRNA from 1 species
GUUUCUGUAGUGUAGUGGUUAUCACGUUCGCCUCACACGCGAAAGGUCCCCAGUUCGAAACUGGGCGGGAACA